rnacentral:rRNA from 1 species
UACGAAGGGGGCUAGCGUUGCUCGGAAUCAUUGGGCGUAAAGGGCGCGUAGGCGGCUUUGUAAGUCCGUUGUGAAAUCCCUCGGCUCAACCGAGGAACUGCGACGGAUACUGCUUGGCUUGAGUCCCGGAGAGGGUAGCGGAAUUCCCAGUGUAGCGGUGAAAUGCGUAGAUAUUGGGAGGAACAUCGGUGGCGAAGGCGGCUACCUGGACGGGUACUGACGCUGAGGCGCGAAAGCUAGGGGAGCAAACAGG